rnacentral:lncRNA from 1 species
UAAUUUAACUAGUAGACUAUUCUCAAUUUUUAACUCAGACAAAACAUUAAGAAUCCACAUAAUUUCACAGGUAUUUGAGCACAUUGCUCUAUACUAAGCUUCUGCUGUAGACCUAGAGGUAACACUUUGUUUCUUACUCUUCCAAGAAACAAGUGUUCCUCCUAAGAAUAUACCAAAACCAGUAAUACACCGUCUGAUUUUAAGACAUUUUGCCCAGUCAGAGUCAACGAACCUUGACAAACGCAUAUUAUUAGACUUUCUAAAACUUAUACCCCUUCUCGGUGAUAGUUUUAAGUAUCUCAACAACCUCAAUGCAAUAUUGAGGUGGGACUGACAAGGACUAUGCAUGUAUUGACUCAGAAACUGAACACAUGACUUAUAUCAGGUCUGGUUAAAGAUAGGUAAAUCAACUUCCCUAUCAACUUUUCAAAACCAUUAAUGUUUUCCAAAACAGUUUGUUCUUUAACACACUUAUUAGUGACAACAAAACUUUGUUCUAUUGGUGUUGUAACAGGUUUACAUCCUAACUAACAAAACUCAUUUAACAGUUCAAGAUAAUAUUUACGCUGUGACAAACAUAUACAACUAUCAGAAUAUAAAACUUCAAUACCCAGGAAAUAUCUAAGUAUCCCCAGAUCUUUAAUCUGAAAAUUGUCACUUAAGAUCCAUCUCACUUUUAUUGUUUCCUGUCACAACUAUAUCAUCAACAUAAACCAGCAGAACAAUAAACAAAUCUUUAUUUGACAAGACAAACAUAGAAUGGUCACACACACUCUGAACAAACCCCAUGAAAAUUAACACAGUGGUUAAUUUCUCAUUCCACUGCCUUGGGGCUUGUUUAAGACCAUACAAAGACUUUACCAACAUACACACUUUAGUGUUAUCUUUUGAAAAAUAACCCUGUGGUAAAGUCAUAAACACAUCUUCAUUUAAUGUUCCAUACAAAAAAAAGCAUUAUUUAUAUCUAAUUGAUAUAAAGGCCAGUUAUUGUUAACUGCAAGUUUAAGCACAAGUCUAACAGUUGCCAUUUGUACAACUGGUGAAAAUGUUUCACCAAAGUCAACACCUUCUCUUUGGUAACCCCUUUAGCCACUAAGGCCUUAUAUCUUUCCACGUCCUCAUUUUCCUUACACUUAAUUUUAUACACCCACUUACAACCUAUAGGUUUUCUACCUUUAGGAAGAUCUACUAACACCCAUGUAUGACUUCCAUUUCAUUAUUCAUGGCCUCUAUCCACCUAUCAUUUUUAACAGCCUCAUCAUACGAAGUAGGUUCAACGGAUUUAUUUAAAGAGGCAACUAAACACACAUAUUAGCAUACGAAAAAUGAGCAUAACUAACAACGUUUUCAGUUCCAUUCUUUACUUUACCCUCAAUAACAAAUUCACCAAAUCUUUUAGGCAUAGAAACAUUUCUAGAAGAUCUUCUAACAUUUUGAGUACCCUCAGAUGGGUUGAUGUCAACAUUUAAUCCUAAAGUGUCCUCUGCCCCGCCAUUGUUACCCUGACACUGACCACUACUGCUCACCUGAUCCGGUUGUUAAACAUGAUCAACACUAGAAUCAGGGGCUGAUGUAGAGGGUGACAAUGGCUACAGACCAUAAAUAACAGGAUCCUGAGCACCAUUUGUACCCUCUUCAUCAUUGGGUAUGUUAGGAACUUCAGAU